GUUGAUGGACUCGUAGAAGCGCCGCAGGAGUUUCAGAAGGAACACCUGUUCCACGAGGACAUGAUGAAGAUGCUUCUCAGCGAGAAAGUGAGAACGCUCGAGGAACUCUUCAUCACAUCACCUCCCUGUUUCACUUCAAGACGUUCACAGCACCGCCAAAGACUACUUCCUCAACAUCUGGGACUUCAUUACGUUUGCGACGACGGCGUACGUGACUCUGUUCGCUGUGACGGACUGCGGUCUGGACUCUGUGGACCAGAGACCCUCAGAUUACCCCUCUCAGGUCUCCGCUCAGAUGGACUGGCUAAGCGGGCUGGCUC